AUUGAACGCUGGCGGCAGGCUUAACACAUGCAAGUCGAGCGGGGAAGGGUAGCUUGCUACCUAACCUAGCGGCGGACGGGUGAGUAAUGCUUAGGAAUCUGCCUAUUAGUGGGGGACAACAUUUCGAAAGGGAUGCUAAUACCGCAUACGCCCUAAGGGGGAAAGCAGGGGAUCUUCGGACCUUGCGCUAAUAGAUGAGCCUAAGUCGGAUUAGCUAGUUGGUGGGGUAAAGGCCUACCAAGGCGACGAUCUGUAGCGGGUCUGAGAGGAUGAGCCGCCACACUGGGACUGAGACACGGCCCAGACUCCUACGGGAGGCAGCAGUGGGGAAUAUUGGACAAUGGGGGAACCCUGAUCCAGCCAUGCCGCGUGUGUGAAGAAGGCCUUUUGGUUGUAAAGCACUUUAAGCGAGGAGGAGGCUACCGAGACUAAUACUCUUGGAUAGUGGACGUUACUCGCAGAAUAAGCACCGGCUAACUCUGUGCCAGCAGCCGCGGUAACAC
rnacentral:rRNA from 1 species